GCCACCUGCACGUGGAGAACACACAACAAAGGUCAUGCUCAUAGCCACCCCUUUCCCUGCAGGGAGAAGGUCUAUUGGACAGAGCCCAGAACUGCACUCAAGGGUGAUGUACCCUGAAUUUGGGUUCUCCCAAAAAGGGGGUGGCUUAAAAACAGAAGCUUGCCAGUUUCUAGGAAGCAUUGAUAUAUAGGUAAUGCAGUCCACUGCCUCUCUUUUCCCCCAAACUUAGGAAAGGUGAAGCUGAUUGUCAAGUGAGAUGCAGAGAACCUGAGAGUGUUAGCAUUGUCCUUAGCUCCCGUUGGCUCUCCAUUUGUCUCCCAGCAGCUGACACGUUGCCCAUAGGCCACAGUGCACAGCUGGGUUCUUUGUGAGCACCAACUGGGAAAAACCCAAUGGGUCGGAUUCCAGCUCCAGGCAUAAUUUCUUGGACGUACCUUUAACCAGCCAGCGUAGAAGAAGAACUGCAAAAACGUAAAGACAGGCACAAAGAGAUCUAGUUCAUGGCCAGGGUAUGCUUUUUCAGGAUCCAGGAACUGCCGCCCGAUCAGACAGGCCAGGAAGAAGCUGUAAACAGCCACGGUCACCACCUGGGAAAGAUGCCAGGGGACACACCAGAGAAACUUAAGUUCCCUACUUGCUUUCUCAGCGUUUUUCUUUUUUGUUCCCACCCCACUUAUAUCAAAACUGCAGUGAGCUGCUGGCUCAGGAGCUCUUGAAAGCCUUGUAUUCGGUUACAACAAGCUUCCCCUCUGCUUUUUGCAGGAAGAUUAAUUUUCACUGCAGAAAACUUUGUGUACCCUCUGCCCUUCGUCGUUAUGUACGCUGCAUUUCACUCCACGCUGUCCCUGGAAUGACAUCUCUGUCCUAGUAGUUCUCUGUAGCCCCUCACAGUUUGGUAAGCAUUUUCCAUAUCUGGGAGGGGAACCCUGAGCAUUAGUGCCAGCUCUGGUUUGGUCCUAAUGAAGGAUAUUUUUAUAUUUGCCUGCUUGCUUGCCCAAAUUUCAAGCUACAAUGAACUCUGUACUUUUCUGUGCAAUCACGAGACUGGAAACUUCCACUUUUCAAAUUAAUAACAGCCGAGACUCGUGUCAAGCAGGAAGGUUCAAAUCAAACACCCGGCAUCAUGAGACUCUUGAGUUAGCCAGGCACUUCCCAGAAGGGAACAGCACAGGGCUGCUUCAAGAUGCAAACGUUACAGCGUGCCUGCAAAGACAAACUUUGCAGUGUGGAUGGGCAACCAUAGAAAAAUGGGUCAUGCUCUGCAGAGAGGAGACUGUUCCAGUCCAUCUGGUAAAUCCUGCUCACAACUCCAAGACCCAACUGAGGCUGCCAGAGGAGCUGUCAAUUUGGGCCCAGUCUUUUCUACAGCCUGACAUAGCUCUGUGGACCUAAACUACAGUGAUAUCUCUUCUCUGCAGGGCAUGGAUCUGCAUGUAUCUGUGUUUUCUGUGCACUCAUAUGGAGCACCUUACAGACACAUGCUUUGCUUCCUUGUGGCUUUACAGUUGUAUCCUAGAGACCUUCAUUGGACGCUGGAAUGUGUGAAUGGUGGAGGAAGUUUGAUCCAGUACACACUACAUGGGUGUCUCCUAUGACUACACCUAGAUGUGAGUCAGAUGGUUUCUCCCAGUCCCAAUUUUGUGAAAGACAUUACAUUCUUUAGCCUCUGCUGCAUGUGGCAUCACCGAUGUGUCAACAGGCCAUGAAAAAUUCUACUCUGUCACCAGUUGGAAAGUGGCAGUGGGGGUAUUUCUCAUCAAAAUGAAUGUAAUAUCCCCAGGGACAGGCAUGGCUCACUGUCUGGACAUCCCACCUCAACAUUUCGGUUCCUUGCCUGACCUCUUAAAUCCCUGCAGUUCCACCUGGAGGACUGCAUGAGGAUCUCAGUUGCCUACUGUCACUCACAUUCAGGAUGCCUUGGAGCAGCACGCUGUCCCGGAUCCUCCCCUCAUUCCUUGCUUUCACAGCCAGAUUGGAGAACCACACGCAUGGGAUCCAAAACUUAUUGUGGGGAGAAUUCAAGCUCUCAAACUUCUUGUGCUCUUCAGGUGUCAUGAGGCCUAAGUGGAAAAGAACAGAUGAGAAAGGAAUCAUAGAGAGCAGAAGGCCAUAGAGAGCAGAAGGAGACCAAGUUCAUGAUGCGGUCAGGCCACGGGAUGCUCUCGUACUGCGCCCACCAGCGGGACACCACCAGGGCCACGUAGAAACCUAGAGGUGAGCCGAGCAAGUUAGCCAUCCUGAAGGAGGGGAGAUGUGUGCUCUUGUAUGGGAAGGCUGGCACUGCUCUUAUAGGGAUGAGUGAAGGCAGACCUAAUUUGUAUCAUGCUAAAGCUGGAGUCUGGCUUUCACCGCUUGUUUAGAGAUAUUUGGUCCUUGCCCUCCUGGUAGAACCAAGAUCACACCAGUGCAUCUGGGCAGUGAAAGCUGUGUGCAUACCUCACAGCUGCAGCAUUAACUGAUGUAUUUAUCACAAAGGCAGAAUGAGGGAACUGCCUGCUUGAAGAGCUGUGUUGACCCAGGGUGAGAGAAGAAAUGCUGCCCGCUUCCCCUCCCUGUGCAUUCACAGUCCUUACCCAGCACAAAGGACACAGGGAUUAG